AUAACCCCCUCUUCUUACACACACAAAUGCACGCUUCACCAAUUUCAUUUUCUUUUCCAGUAUAUUGAACCUCGAAAUAGGUAUAGUUCUUUCUUUCUAUUGACCUUCUUUUUUGCUUCAUUACUUCUCUUUUGUGUGUAGGGUUUAUCGAUUUUGCAAAUGAGGCAGAUGAGAGGGCCAAGGAAGCGGAUAUUCGGGUCCACGAAUUGGAGGAGCAGAAUAAGUUGUCUGAGGAUUCUCAUCUCUACGAGUACCGAUGCGAGAAACAGAUGGCAAAUUAAUUUCUUCACCAAAUUUUCUUAAUCUUUUUAACACUUAUGUUGUUCACCUCUUAUUGAUUGUAUGAUUAAUUGUGAAAUUACCUCUGUGGGAUUUGGAAAUUUAUUAAAAGUCAUAGGUUUUGUAGGGCUAACUAACCAAAUAAGUGAUUUUGGGUAAAGGGAAAAUAUGAAGAAAGCAAAUUGAUCUUACUGAGCCGUGUAUUAUAUAAUUCCCUUGUUUUUUUUUUUUUCCUUGAGAGAACUUCAAAUUGUUAAUUUAGAAAAAUGGAAACUUGGAUGAUGGUAAUACAUCCUGAAAAUCAAAGUUCUUUUCAAUGAUAGAAUAGUGUCACCCACUCAACUUUGGGCUGCAUGAGUUUCUAUGACAUUUUUGGAUAAAGUAUGAACUAAGUGGGCAUGAAAAUGGAAAAUGAAUAUUAGUAAUACUGUCUGAACUUUAUGAUCCUCUUCUCUAACAUCAAUCUUUACUGCUGAGGAAUUCUGUUAUUGCUGCCGGCCUAUUCUGAAUAUGUGACUUCUUUCUGUUUUAAAUUUGCUACUUUUAUGUCGUAACUUUGAACUUUGCUUCAGAAUCUUCUCUUCCAGUUAUAUUUUGCGGUUUAUGACUUUCUAGAUUGAUUAACAUAGAAAAUAGAUAAACUAUACAUUUAACAACUGGUUGAGGAUGUAAACGCUUGACAAUGGGAGAAUAUAGUUUCAAAAUCAAAGAAAAUCCUUUGGUAACAAUUUAUAUCUCAUUUGGCCUAAUAGAAGUUUCGUUUGUAGCCAUUUGAAAUCAUAAAUUACUUUGUAUUACAAGUAACGUUUCUUUAAUUUUACUGUCAUUUUUUAAGUUUCAAGUUUCAUGUAAUGAAUUUUCUGUUACAUGAGGGGAAAUUGUGAUUAAUUCAGAGUUAUGACAUGCGUGUGCAGGCCCAUUGGUUUCUUUACCUCCUGUGGGAAGUCUUGUGGUCUAUUUUCCUCAAGGUCAUAGUGAACAAGUGGCAGCAUUGAUUCAAAAGGAGGCUGAGAGCAUCCCAAGUUAUCCAAACCUUCCGUCGAAGUUGAUCUGCAUGCUCCAUAAUGUCAAUUUACAUUAAGUCAACAUCAAUGAUAUUUAUCUUCAAUGGCUUUCGUUGUUAUUUGACUGGAUCAAUCUUAUGUUUCUUUAUCCUCUCCUCAUGUAAGCAAUAUGAGAAGGACCUAAUGGACAUGAUCGAUAGAGAAGCGGAUGGAAGUGAUAGUCUUGAGGGGAUUUGUUCUGUGCCAUUCAAUUGCUGGUGGUACAAGCUAAGGUUUCCAAAUCCUAUCACAUUGUGCAAAUUUUCUAUUUAAAUUCCAAAAUAUGAAUGUCUUGAUUCAUAUUUGAUUUUCAUAAGAAUAUAAAACUGGUUUUGUACUGUUCACGGAAGGACAGGUCAACUGCACUGUAGAGGCCCAAUUUAUUCUCUCUGCUUUCACUGUAUAUACUCAAUGUAUCUAUCUCUUCCUUUUCAUUUCUUCCCCCAUUUAGCCAUCCUUGUUGACUAUAUAAUAGUUAUUUGCUUUCCAUGUAGCCACCAUUCUUUCUAGCUACAGUGGUUCUGCAUUGUUCAUUAAAUGAUCGCCCUAACAAGCGUCAUUUCUUCCAUCUCUAAACCCUCUUUUUUCUUUCCCGAAUUUCAAUCCCCAUUCCCAACACACUUUAAUUCCUCCUACAACGCUAAAAACCCUUCAAUUAAUUUCAUCUCUCCAGGAAUGAGCUGGCUGUACAAGCUUAGAUUUGGUGUUCUUAACUCCACCGACUCCAUGUGGAUUCCUCUUUCGAUUCUUCCAUAGCGCAUGGGACUAGACGAUCAUGUACUCGCUCUGAGCCAUCAGUUUGUGCAAUUCGAAGGAGGUAGAGAAUAUAGUAUUAGCUUCCUCCAUUGCAAUUUAUUGUUGAGUUUUUUUAAAACAGUAUUUAAUCGUAUCCCCAAGAAAAAUUUAUGAAUUUCAGUUCAGAAAUUUGAGAAAAAAUGUGAAGUUUAGGUUUGCUUUCAUCUUAAAUGUCUUAAAAGUUUGUUCUUAUUGGCAAAAAUUUUUAAAUUUCUGCAUUUAUUUGAUUAAGCUUGCUCAUUUUUAUCACCGGCAAAACUAAGAUUUCAGAUUUUGGGUGUGGUGUGGGGCUGAGCAACAUAGGGAAGCAGCAAUGCACAAAGGUCACUCAGAUUAAAAGGCUAAUUGCUAGAAACUGGUGAAUAUAAGCACAAGGAAGAUUUGGAAAUGCUUAUAAAUUUAGAGCUGGCAAAGUUAAAUUAUGUUGAGAACGAGUUCCGGAAUUAUGAAUAUAUUGUAAGAAAAAAUAAUAUAUGAGAUUGUGUAUAAAAUAAAAAGUGGAGCAAUUUGAUUGAAUUAUGCCACUAUGAGUUUUAAUUUUUGAUUUCUUUUAUUUUUUGAUUGUCAAAUUUGUCGACGAAUAAAUGAAACAUAGGAUUGAGUUGAGUAUGACGUGGAGAAAUGUGACUAGAGAGCUUGAAACAUUGACCUCUUGAAAAUUAACUUUUGAGAACAUGAAAACUUCCAACUAGAAAGUAGAAACUGCAUGAUCGGCUGAAUAAUUUGUAAAAAGAAGUGACAAACUGUAAUUUCUCUAUUUUGUGAUUUAUGUUUUUGUGAACAUUAUUGUAGCUAGAUGUUCCUUUAGUUUAUCAUUCACAUAUUGAAAUGAGAUAUUGCACAUGCUAGAAGAAAUAUGUAAUCCUCCUUCUGGUUCUUGGCAAAAUUUGAAGGUAAGUAGAAUUUUCUGAGUACGAACUUUGUUGUUGUUGUUUUUUUUUUCUAGCAAUUAUAUUUAUCUUGUGAAAAAUUGUUUCAGGAUUACAUGUGAAAAUCUAGGGAUGUUUUUUUUCUCAAGUUUCUUGUGAUGAUGAUGAUCCGGAAAUUUGAUGAUCACGAUUUGAAGAAUCUUUCGACCAGAAUAAUAUCCGGGUAAAGGAAUACAAGCACAGCCCAUCAAGAAGGCCACGUAGGAGCCGCCGUAGAAUAUCGUGAAGGAAUACAAGCACAGCCCAUCAAGAAGGCCACGUAGGAGCCACCGUAGAAGUAGAAGUCCUAGAAGGAACAAAAUGUGUUUUUUAGUUUGAAGUAUAUUUGCUCAAUCUCUAAGAUAGAGUUUAUUUGUUUAUUCAAGCAAUAUGUUCCUUGUGCAGCAAAUCAAUGGAUCGAUCCAUUUCGAUCAAAAUCUUCUAUUAAACUGCCCAGAAAGGAAGAUGAAGUUCAAGAUGAAGGGCAAUAUCAAUGCCACCAUUAGCUUCCCCUUACCAGAACCUAUUUAAUCUAUUCAUUUUCAUUUGGGUAUAGUUCUAGGUUCUUUCAAGUUUCCUCUUCAUUCUCUUCUCUACUGAACAAUACAAAUCUAAGGUGAGGAUUCGUUUUUUUUUUUGGAAUUACUGUCCAAGACCUCAAGGUCCACAAUUCCUGGUCACUUUGAAGCCUCCAAAUAUGUGAUUUUCAAUCAUGGGUGAAAUCUCUAGAAUACUCCAGGUGAGUUUCUAAUUAGGAUUGGCAUUUCUUCAUUGUGUUGAUCACAUCUAUUCUAAGCACUAAACUUUGUGCUGGUGGAAACUUUUCUAAAAUAGAUGAGUGAUGAAGAACAUGUCAUUUUGAAUUUUAAAUUUACUUGAAAAAAUUUGAAUACAUUGGUGGCUAAGGAUAUGUUUUACAGAUGCUUUCUUAAAAUAUGUUCACAACUCAUGAGUAUAGUGCAAACUCGUCAUGGCAUCGAUCAUAUCGAACUCUUCAGGUUCUUUAUAACUGAUAUUGUUUUUGAUGUAUCCACUGCUCCAUAUAUGAUGCAUGCUUUUGAAUUAAUUUUAGGUUGCGCUUGAAGAUGGAAUCAGUGUCUUGAGAUUGGAAUUAUUGAGAAGAUAAUUCCAAAUUUUCCUAUUUUGACGUCCCAGUUUUUAUGUUACUUAAAAAGUGUAUUAUUGUCUAACAUCUUAAGCUUUGAUGUGCUCUGGAGGAUGUUAUAAAAAAAUUCAUACGAGGAAGUUAGAUAUGAACCUUUAUGUUGUCUACUAAUUUUGUUGUACCGAAAGAUAGUUGAGCUACAUUGUAAUUUUGCUGAUGUCAGGCCAUUUAGUAGAUGCUUAAUUUUGAGUUAUUAUAACAAGACAAUUGCAGGUGUAAUGUAUAUGUGAGCACAUGUUUAAAACAGUUAAAAAUAGUUUAUCUUC